UGGCGAACGGGUGAGUAACGCGUGAGUAACCUGCCCUAGAGUGGGGGGACGAACAGUUGGAAACGACUGCUAAUACCGCAUAAGCCCACGGUACCGCAUGGCACUGGGGAAAAGGAUUUAUUCGCUUUAGGAUGGACUCGCGUCCAAUUAGCUAGUUGGUGAGGUAACGGCCCACCAAGGCGACGAUUGGUAGCCGGACUGAGAGGUUGAACGGCCACAUUGGGACUGAGACACGGCCCAG
rnacentral:rRNA from 1 species